UGCUACAGCAUUAAUUUUUUGUACAUGUGCAUAAUACAUUUAAUUUAAUGUAUGUUAUGUGAUACAGGUUUGGUCUCUACAUCAAGGCUCCCCAUGCUAUUACCACCAGAGCUAUCCCUGUCUGUGCAAAACUUGGAGUUUGAGAAUGUGAUCAAUUAAUUUUAAGGAAUGUUGAGCGACACAGGCAUGUCAGCCAGUGAUGCAAAAUGUGCAGUUGUGAUGUUACACCAGGGAGAACUGGCAAGGUACGGGACUGAACUUGCAGGUUAUAGUAGAUGGAGAUCUAGC